GAUGAACGCUGGCGGCGUGCCUAAUACAUGCAAGUCGAGCGAACAGAUAAGGAGCUUGCUCCUUUGAAGUUAGCGGCGGACGGGUGAGUAACACGUGGGUAACCUACCUAUAAGACUGGGAUAACUUCGGGAAACCGGAGCUAAUACCGGAUAACAUUUAGAACCGCAUGGUUCUAAAGUGAAAGAUGGUUUUGCUAUCACUUAUAGAUGGACCCGCGCCGUAUUAGCUAGUUGGUAAGGUAACGGCUUACCAAGGCGACGAUACGUAGCCGACCUGAGAGGGUGAUCGGCCACACUGGAACUGAGACACGGUCCAGACUCCUACAGGAGGCAGCAGUAGGGAAUCUUCCGCAAUGGGCGAAAGCCUGACGGAGCAACGCCGCGUGAGUGAUGAAGGGUUUCGGCUCGUAAAACUCUGUUAUUAGGGAAGAACAAAUGUGUAAGUAACUGUGCACAUCUUGACGGUACCUAAUCAGAAAGCCACGGCUAACUACGUG
rnacentral:rRNA from 1 species